rnacentral:rRNA from 1 species
UACAGAGGUUGCACGCGUUAUCCGGAAUUAUUGGGCGUAAAGAGCUCGUAGGCGGUUUGUCGCGUCUGCUGUGAAAACUGGAGGCUCAACCUCCAGCCUGCAGUGGGUACGGGCAGACUAGAGUGCGGUAGGGGAGAUUGGAAUUCCUGGUGUAGCGGUGGAAUGCGCAGAUAUCAGGAGGAACACCGAUGGCGAAGGCAGAUCUCUGGGCCGUAACUGACGCUGAGGAGCGAAAGCAUGGGGAGCGAACAGG